rnacentral:rRNA from 1 species
GACGAACGCUGGCGGCGUGCUUAACACAUGCAAGUCGAGCGGAAAGGCCCUUUCGGGGGUACUCGAGCGGCGAACGGGUGAGUAACACGUGAGUAAUCUGCCCCCUACUUUGGGAUAACCCCCGGAAACGGGAGCUAAUACCGGAUACGACCACUCCAGGCAUCUGGUGGUGGUGGAAAGUUUUUUCGGUGGGGGAUGUGCUCGCGGCCUAUCAGCUUGUUGGUGGGGUAAUGGCCUACCAAGGCUUUGACGGGUAGCCGGCCUGAGAGGGUGACCGGCCACACUGGGACUGAGGCACGGCCCAGACUCCUACGGGAGGCAGCAGUGGGGAAUAUUGGACAAUGGGCGGAAGCCUGAUCCAGCAACGCCGCGUGAGGGAUGACGGCCUUCGGGUUGUAAACCUCUUUCAGCACCGACGAAGCGGAAGUGACGGUAGGUGCGGAAGAAGGACCGGCCAACUACGUGCCAGCAGCCGCCGCAGUAA